CAGGAAAGAAGCAAAAGACUCGUGAAGUGCCUGGAAAGAAAAGGUGGAGUUUUGACUUCCUUCAUGAAUACUCGGGUAUUGCAGUCAUGCAUUCUGGGGUGAGGAUGGAGCUAAGCCGAGCCAAGGCCUUACCAGUGACGCGUGAGAAGGGGAAAGAAGCAAGAGACUCGUGAAGUGCUUGGAAAGAAAAGGAAAGAAGCAAGAGACUCGUGAAAUGCCUGGAAAGAAAAGGAAAGAAGCAAGAAACUCGUGAAAUGCCUGGAAAGAAAAGGUGGAGUUUUGAACUCCUUCAUGAAUACUCGUGUGAU